rnacentral:rRNA from 1 species
AACGAACGCUGGCGGCAGGCCUAAAACAUGCAAGUCGAACGCCCCGCAAGGGGAGUGGCGCACGGGUGAGUAACGCGUGGGAACGUGCCCUUCACUACGGGACAACGUCGGGAAACUGACGCUAAUACCGUAUAAUGACUCCGGUCCAAAGAUUUAUCGGUGAAGGAGCGGCCCGCGUCUGAUUAGUUUGUUGGUGGGGUAAUGGCCUACCAAGACUACGAUCAGUAGCAGUUCUGAGAGGAUGAUCUGCCACACUGGGACGUGAGACACGCCCAGACGCCUGCGGGAGGCAGGAUUUAGGAAUAUUUGACAAUGGGCGAAAGCCUGAUCCCGCCAUGCCGCGUGUGUAAUGAAGGCCUUAGGGUUGUAUAGCACUUUCGUUGGGGAUGAUAAUGACCUUACCCAAAGAAGAAGCACCGGCUAACUUCGUGCCAGCCGCCGCCGUAA